CAGUUCACCCUCCAACAUUUAGCCGAUACACAACUUCCACUAGGAAACGAAGGACCGAAGGAGACAAUGAUUAACUCCACCAAUCUCCUGACCAACCUCAGCCUCAGUGGAUAUCCUCACUUCCUCUGCACCAGACUGGGUUUCCCAAAGGAGUCUUCAGAUUUACAAGAGAUCAUUGAUUCUAAAGUACUGACUUCCAUUCUCUGCGUCUGUUCUGAGAAAUCUCCUUAAGAACCUCCACACCGCUUCUCUGACCGCACUCCUGCCUGUACAUCCUCCAAAGUUGGUUUCACCAAUCAAAAACUUCAAGGACAAAAGACCAAGUUUCUGGAGGCAGAUGCCAGGUUGUUGUCCUCACACAUGAGUCUGUUUGAAGAACUCUCCCUAAGACUCUCCACACCACUCCUCUGGCCACCCUCCUGACUCAAAGGCUCAUCUGUAAUUUAUUGGUCACUCACCUCCUGGUGCACUCUCCAUCGCCCAAACCUCCAACCUUGAAGAGAAGGACAGAAGGAGACAAUAACUAAUUCAACCAAUCAUCAAUCUGCUGCCAACCUCAGCCUCUGCUGAUGAGUUCACCACCUGUGCACCAUGCCGUCCUGGAUUCUUGAUCUAAAACAAGAAGAAUCAUCUCACUGUGCAGAUUUACCAAUAAACCUUUCAAACUUUC